CAGCCGCGCGGGAAUACGUAGGUGGCAAGCGUUGUCCGGAAUUAUUGGGCGUAAAGGGCUCGCAGGCGGUUUCUUAAGUCUGAUGUGAAAGCCCCCGGCUCAACCGGGGAGGGUCAUUGGAAACUGGGAAACUUGAGUGCAGAAGAGGAGAGUGGAAUUCCACGUGUAGCGGUGAAAUGCGUAGAGAUGUGGAGGAACACCAGUGGCGAAGGCGACUCUCUGUUCUGUAACUGACGCUGAGGAGCGAAAGCGUGGGGAGCGGACAGGAUUAGAUACCCCUGUAGUCCCUGUCUCUUAUACA
rnacentral:rRNA from 1 species